rnacentral:rRNA from 1 species
AGAGUUUGAUCCUGGCUCAGAUUGAACGCUGGCGGCAUGCCUUACACAUGCAAGUCGAACGGCAGCACGGGAGUAAUCCUGGUGGCGAGUGGCGAACGGGUGAGUAAUAUAUCGGAACGUGCCCAGUCGUGGGGGAUAACGUAGCGAAAGCUACGCUAAUACCGCAUACGAUCUAUGGAUGAAAGCGGGGGAUCGCAAGACCUCGCGCGAUUGGAGCGGCCGAUAUCAGAUUAGGUAGUUGGUGGGGUAAAGGCUCACCAAGCCGACGAUCUGUAGCUGGUCUGAGAGGACGACCAGCCACACUGGGACUGAGACACGGCCCAGACUCCUACGGGAGGCAGCAGUAGGGAAUUUUGGACAAUGGGCGCAAGCCUGAUCCAGCAAUGCCGCGUGCAUGAUGAAGGCCUUCGGG